rnacentral:rRNA from 1 species
UAGGGAAUUUUGCGCAAUGGGGGAAACCCUGACGCAGCAACACCGCGUGAAUGAUUAAGCCCUUCGGGGUAUAAAGUUCUGUCAGUGGGGACGAAACUUGACGGUACCCACAAAGGAAGCACCGGCUAACUCCGUGCCAGCAGCCGCGGUAAUACGGAGGGUGCAAGCGUUGUCCGGAAUCAUUGGGCGUAAAGCGUUCGUAGGCGGUAUAUCAAGUCCGGUGUCAAAGCCCAAAGCUCAACUUUGGAUCCGCACUGGAUACUGGUAAACUAGAAUGUGGUAGAGGUAAAGGGAAUUCCUGGUGUAGCGGUGAAAUGCGUAGAUAUUAGGAGGAACACCAGUGGCGAAGGCGGCCUGCUGGGCUUUUACUGACGCUGAGGCUCGAAAGCAUGGGGAGCAAACA